CAAUUACAUGGGGUUUUAAUGGAUGCGGUCUAUACAUGCAGUCGAGCGGACCUUUUAAAGCUUGCUUUUGAAAGGUCAGCGGCGGACGGGUGAGUAACACGUGGGCAACCUGCCUGUAAGACUGGGAUAACUUCGGGAAACCGGAGCUAAUACCGGAUAAUAUAAGGAACCUCCUGGUUCUUUAUUGAAAGAUGGUUUCGGCUAUCACUUACAGAUGGGCCCGCGGCGCAUUAGCUAGUUGGUGAGGUAAUGGCUCACCAAGGCGACGAUGCGUAGCCGACCUGAGAGGGUGAUCGGCCACACUGGGACUGAGACACGGCCCAGACUCCUACGGGAGGCAGCAGUAGGGAAUCUUCCACAAUGGACGAAAGUCUGAUGGAGCAACGCCGCGUGAGCGAUGAAGGCCUUCGGGUCGUAAAGCUCUGUUGUUAGGGAAGAACAAGUGCGAGAGUAACUGCUCGCACCUUGACGGUACCUAACCAGAAAGCCACGGCUAACUACGUGCCAGCAGCCGCGGUAAUACGUAGGUGGCAAGCGUUGUCCGGAAUUAUUGGGCGUAAAGCGCGCGCAGGUGGUCCUUUAAGUCUGAUGUGAAAGCCCACGGCUCAACCGUGGAGGGUCAUUGGAAACUGGGGGACUUGAGUGCAGAAGAGGAAAGUGGAAAUUCCAAGUGUAGCGGUGAAAUGCGUAGAGAUUUGGAGGAACACCAGUGGCGAAAGCGACUUUCUGGUCUGUAACUGACACUGAGCGCGAAAGCGUGGGGAGCAAACAGGAUUAGAUACCCUGGUAGUCCACGCCGUAACGAUGAGUGCUAAGUGUUAGAGGGUUUCCGCCCUUUAGUGCUGCAGCUAACGCAUUAAGCACUCCGCCUGGGGGAGUACGGUCGCAGGACUGAAACUCAAAGGAAUUGACGGGGCCCGCACAAGCGGGUGGGAGCAUGGUGGUUAGUCCGAGGCACGCGAGAAUCUACAGGUCUGACAUCUCUGAACACUCCUAGAGAUAGACGUUCCCAUCGGGGAACGACUGAAGGUGGUGCAUGCUGUCGUUCAGCUCCAGUUCUGGAAUGUUAGUUAGUUCCGCACGAGCCAUCCUUGAAUCUUAGCUUGCACGA
rnacentral:rRNA from 1 species